UGAAAAAGAAGCUACUUGGGAAUGCGAAGAUGCGUUGAAGAAGGAGUUUCCCUAUCUCUUCAGAGCUCAGCCAAAUCUCGAGGAUGAGAUUCAAUUUAAGUGGGGUAGGUUUGUAACAUCCGUAAAAAUCACCAACUUAAAUCACCCGCUAAAAUUUAUUUUCAAAAUCUUUUAACCAUUGACCUCCUGAAAAUCCCGUCUUCCCGGCAAUUUCACCAUCCCAGCACCCAAAGGCGACAACCAUCAUUUUUAUCAUCUCCACAAAUUUAGCUGUGUGCCGAUCGAAAAACCGCCGCACGUGCUCCGACCAUUUUCCGCAAUC
rnacentral:lncRNA from 1 species